AUUCUUAGAACUUAAAUAUACUACAGUAAGGACAACUGUCUCGCCACUCAGGCCUUGUAUUUGUAAGGUAAAAAAAAUAUAUAAAAAAUUAAGUAUAUUAUAGUCAACAAAGAUUUGACCUCACGUUGACCAGGAAGAAGAAGUAAAGUGGAACAGAGUAAGCAUUGAAAAGAUAACAUUAAAGAAUGGAAGGGUUGACAAUAAAAGAGAUUACAUCCAAGGGAAAAGACGAUCGACGAUCGAUAGAUCAUGUGUGAUGCCAACAGAGACUCUGUUUACAAUGUAACAAUUCUUUAAAUGCCGAAAGUGUGGAAACGAGUCUAUUAAACAUUGAAUCACAGUAAGUUCAACUUUAUCAGAAUCUCAAUCUGCAUACCUUAGUCUCAAUAACAAGGUUGCAAAAUUAAUACAUCAACAACAGUC
rnacentral:sRNA from 1 species